rnacentral:rRNA from 1 species
UACGUAGGGGGCAAGCGUUGUCCGGAAUCAUUGGGCGUAAAGAGCGCGUAGGCGGCCCUGUAAGUCCGCUGUGAAAGUCAAGGGCUCAACCCUUGAAUGCCGGUGGAUACUGUCGGGCUUGAGUGCAGGAGAGGAACGCGGAAUUCCAGGUGUAGCGGUGAAAUGCGUAGAUAUCUGGAGGAACACCGGUGGCGAAGGCGGCGUUCUGGACUGUUACUGACACUGAGGAACGAAAGCCAGGGGAGCAAACGGG